rnacentral:rRNA from 1 species
UACAGAGGAGCCAAGCGUUGUCCGGAUUGACUGGGCGUAAAGCGCACGCAGGCGGACGCGCGCGUGGGGUGUGAAAUCUGGCCGCUUAACGGCCAGGCGCCAUCCCAUACGGCGCGACUGGAGUGAUGCAGAGGUCGAUGGAAUUGCCGGUGUAGUGGUGAAAUGCGUAGAGAUCGGCAGGAACACCCAGGGGGAAACCAGUCGACUGGGCAUCUACUGACGCUGAGGAACGAAAGCCAGGGGAGCAAACGGG